rnacentral:lncRNA from 1 species
CUCUUUCAGUUCUCCUGAUCUGCCCCCUGUCUUUCUUAAGAACACCUAGAGGAGGCAGACUCUCCUUAUCUGUGUAUCUCCUUAUCUCCAUAUCUGUGGCUCCCAAGGAUUCUAAGCUGUCACACUAGCCCAUACAUGGUCUUUAAGUAUUUGUUAAAAUUUAGGGGAUUUUCCUCUCACUUUUUGGCUGCUACUCUUCCUCCUGUACUCUGCCCAAAGCAAAAAAGGUCUGUAGGAGCUGUGCUUCUUGGCUUUCUAUAUCCUAAGUGGAACUGGAACUCAUUGAUUGCAUUUUUGUUGUCAACUCUUUUUUUUUUGAGGAAGAUUAGCCCUGAAUUAACUACUGUCAAUCCUCCUCUUUUUGCUGAGGAAGACUGGUCCUGAGCUAACAUCUGUACCCAUCUUCCUCUACUUUAUACAUGGGACACCUACCACAGCAUGGCUUUUGCCAAGCAGUGCCAUGUCCGCACCCAGGGUCUGAACUGGCAAACCCCAGGCUGCCGAGAAGUGGAACAUGUGAACUUAAUCACUGUGCCACUGUGCCGGCCCUGUUGUCAACUCUUGUUACUUGACAGCAAAUUGCUCUGCAAUUUGUUCAGUAGGUUCAAAGAGAUAAAACACAAGAUUGAUAAUUAUGGAAACCUUAAAAAGGAACCGAAUCCCAAACCAAAAACAUAUAGUAGUGGAAAUUAACUCAGUGGAAGUGUUUUAUAGCAAAUAAGACAUCAACGAAGAGAUAUUUAAGAUUAUAAAGAAGAAUAUCUCUAGAAGGAAACAUGGAGAGAAACGAGUUUGGAAAUACAGGUGAGGGAUAAGAGAUACAGGAUGCAGUAAGAAGAUUUGAUAUAAAUGUAUUUAGAGUCCCUGAAGCAAGGGAGAGAGAAAAUGGGACAGAAGCAAUUUUUGAGAAGAUAACAGCUGAGAAUUUUCCACAACUGGUGAAAAACAUUGUCGCGGAUUAAGAAUUUAAAACAAGUCAGAAAAUCUAGGCACGUUCAUAAUAAAUGAAAACCAAAGAGAAAAUCCUUCAAAAUAGCUAGAGAAAAAAGACAUUACCUUGGAAAGAGCAAUAAUUAAACUUAUUGCUGGUUUCUCAAGAGAAAUAAUGAAAGCCAGAAGACAAAUGGAAUAUUUUCAAAGUGCUGAAAGAAAGUAACUGACAAGCUAGAGUUUUAUGCCCAGCAAAAAAUGUUCCUCAAAAUUAAAAGAGAAUUAAAGGCAUUUCUGGACAUAAAGACUGAGAGAUUUAUCAUGAGCAGGCCUGCAUUAAAGGAAAUACUUAAGAUAGUUCUUCAGGCAGAAGUAAAAAGAACCUAGAUGGAAACUCAGAGAUAUAAGAAGAAAAGGUUGAUGAAGAAGGUAAAAAUAUGUGGAUAGAUCUAAAUAAAUAUUGACCAUAUACAAUAAUGUCUGUGGGUUUUUAAAAUAUGUAUAUGUAUAUAUAGAUUGAAAACACAACAAUGGCAUAAAAGUCAAGAGGGGAUUCUUGGAGUUAAAAUGUUUUAAGAUCAUUGCAUUAUCUUGAAAGAAGGUUAUUUCUUUAGGCUGCUCCUGAAAAUAGAAUUGACUGUCAAGUGGGUGUGCACUGGUAAAGGAUUUUGUUUUGUUUUUUGUUUUUUUUUUUGCUUUUUGUCCCCAAAUCCUCCCAGUACACAGUUGUAUAUUUUAGUUGUGGGUCUUUCUAGUUGUGGCAUGUGGGACGCCACCUCAGCAUGGCCUGACGAGCAGUGCCAUGUCCACGUCAAGGAUCCGAAUCGUUGAAACCCUGGGCCGCUGAAGCCGAGCAUGCAAACUUAACCACUCGGCCACAGGGCCGGCCCCGAUUUUGUUAAGUUGGAUUGAAGAUGGUUUCACUGAGGAUUAGCACUCCCCAGCCGAUUCCCCUGAUGGAACAUUUGAAGCAGCAAAUUUCUAUACCUGGGCCACCGCCAGGCAGCAAUAACAACCUUCAGAAGCAAACCUGUUGGUCUCGUCAGCACUCAGAUUGCACUGCUUUUUGUGAAGCCCCCGUGUGCUCUAAUGGUGAUGGAGAUCUCGCCUGCCAUGCAGACCACGGAAGGAAAAUUGGAGGGAGCUUGGGUGUGCGUCUGGAGAAUAGCACUGUGAUGCCUCAGAGCACGCAGUGUGCCAGGCACUGUGUUAGGAGCUGGGAAUUCAGCAGUGAACAAAACUCUCCAAAAUCCUGCCCUUGUGGACUGACCUUCUGGUGGGGAGACAAAUAAUACAUAAGCAGAUUAGUCCCGAGCUAACAUCUGCUGCCAAUCCUCCUCUUUUCGCUGAGGAAGACUGGUCUUGAGCUAACAUCUGUGCCCAUCUUCUUCUACUUUAUAUGUGGGACGACUACCACAGCAUGGCUUGCCAAGCGGUGCCAUGUCUGCACCCAGGAUCCCAACUGGCGAACCCCAGGCCACCAAAGCAGAACAUGCAAACUUAACCGCUGCGUCACUGGACUGGCCCCUAUAUUCUUUUUUCUUAAUUAGCCUCCCCCCCACCAAUUCUAUAAGCUUUGGGACACACAAGUAUUUACUUUUCAACAAGAUGAUUUAUAUUUUUCCUGAAGUUCUAAUCUCUAUUGAGAUUUUUUUUUCUUCUUACUCAAAUGCAUAUCUUUGAAAUCGCUCAUAGUGAACUCUUCUGUUUGUUUGUGGCCACUCUUCCAAGUUAUAUUUCAAUCUAGGUGGGAAAUUUCAUUAAGCGCUAUUUUAUGGCUUACUGUGCAAUAUCAAUCAUCAUUUUUUUUGAGGCAAUUCAGAUAUGUUGAUAACGCAUAAAAUUAAUUCAUAAAGGAACGGCAUGAGUGUGUUGAUACAUCGUUGUAUAUGGCUUUAGUACAAUAAAUUCUCAGCCUUGUAGUCACAAAAGUAGGGAUAGCAUUAGAGCAAUAUUGACAAGCCCAGCAUGCUCUUGAAAAGAGAGGAGCCAAAACACAAACCGGCUCCCGAUUCUAAAGGAAAAUCACAACCCUCAAUUCCUCGUUUAAAAUUGUUUUCAUGGUUUCAGAGUUGAGCACAAUCAAAUCCUAGUGUCUUUCCAACCCACACCUCCCUUCGUAUUCUCUCCAAGUGUAAGCACAGAGUUUCAUUGGGUUCUAAGGGCCUCAGCGGGUAGGGAAUAAAAGGAUUGCAAUGGUUUAAUACAUUUUACCUAGUCGAAGUUCCAACAUGUAGGUCAUGAUUUGAAUUUCAACCGGAAUAAUGUGGAAGCUUUUUGUAAAUCAUAAAAUUGUUGUACAAAUGUUACUUUGUUGAUAUUACUGUUGUCAUUAUGAUGGGGUCAACUUUUCAUCUCUAUUAAGCACAAAUAACAAAGAAUUCAUUGAUUUGUAUCAGAAUAGAUUUAGCUUUUAAUGGAAGAAAAUCCUGACUCUGAAACAUAGUAAUAAGGAUUCUAAAAUUAAAGAUGAUUUGCUAGGCUUUGGCAGUGA